rnacentral:rRNA from 1 species
UACGUAGGGUCCGAGCGUUGUCCGGAAUUACUGGGCGUAAAGAGCUCGUAGGUGGUUUGUCGCGUUGUUCGUGAAAACUCACAGCUUAACUGUGGGCGUGCGGGCGAUACGGGCAGACUGGAGUACUGCAGGGGAGACUGGAAUUCCUGGUGUAGCGGUGGAAUGCGCAGAUAUCAGGAAGAACACCGGUGGCGAAGGCGGCUCUCUGGGCCUUACCUGACGCUGAGGAGCGAAAGCGUGGGUAGCGAACAGG